rnacentral:rRNA from 1 species
CUGGGGAUUAGAUACCCCACUAUANGGAAUAAAAANUUCCACNGAAGCACUAAAGCCCUCAGGNUAAAANUUAAUGGGCAUGGNGGCAAGNUAGACCUCUCAGGGGAAUUUACCCGGUAAUCGACAACCCACAAAGGGGCCCCUCACAACCUAUAAGUUUGUAUACCGCCGUCUCCAGACACCGUCUAAGACUGUGUCAACCCUCUACCAGAGGAAAGACAGGUCAUGGCGCAGCCCAUGGUUGUGUGCAAGGUGAGUUACAAUCACUAAUUGUGUCGAAUAUGGAAUUUAAAUUGUCCAUGGAAGGAGGACUUGAAAGUAAAGUGUUAGGGAAGUAUAACUUGAAUAGUCUACUAGCCUGUGCACACACCGCCCGUCACCCUC